AGUGAACGCUGGCGGUAGGCCUAACACAUGCAAGUCGAACGGCAGCACAGUAAGAGCUUGCUCUUACGGGUGGCGAGUGGCGGACGGGUGAGGAAUACAUCGGAAUCUACUUUUUCGUGGGGGAUAACGUAGGGAAACUUACGCUAAUACCGCAUACGACCUACGGGUGAAAGCAGGGGAUCUUCGGACCUUGCGCGAUUGAAUGAGCCGAUGUCGGAUUAGCUAGUUGGCGGGGUAAAGGCCCACCAAGGCGACGAUCCGUAGCUGGUCUGAGAGGAUGAUCAGCCACACUGGAACUGAGACACGGUCCAGACUCCUACGGGAGGCAGCAGUGGGGAAUAUUGGACAAUGGGCGCAAGCCUGAUCCAGCCAUACCGCGUGGGUGAAGAAGGCCUUCGGGCUGUAAAGCCCUUUGUUGGGAAAGAAAAGCAGCAGGUUAAUACCCCGCUGUUCUGACGGUACCCAAAGAAUAAGCACCGGCUAACUUCGUG
rnacentral:rRNA from 1 species